GUUCAGUUCCAAGAAGGGGAGAGGGGAAUCAAGAUAUGUGACUUCCACAAUUGAGACAGGUCACAAAUCACAAAAUGGAACUAGAUCACAUGCUGGAAAACUCCUUCUGGCAAUCCAGGGCACCGUGUCAUCAAUAAGGCAGUCGCGGUCCGAGUGAGGCUGGCCUCCAUCCUGGCCUCCGUCCUUGCCUCUGAGUGGGUCGCGUAAAGCCACCGCCUUUGAGCCAGAUCUUCAGAUGUGGACCUGGGAGAAGGUGCUCUGGGGCGCUCCUUUCUAAGCCGGCUUUGUGACGGGUGGCCGACACUGGAGAGCCCGAGCAGGAACAGGAUGGGAACCGACGAGGAUGAGCUGGGCAGUCCCCAUCGCCUCCCUGGCCUCGCCAAAUCACCCUUGACAUUCUGCCUGGAAGCAGGAGCUUGGAGGAGAGCCACCGGGCGAUUUCACCCCACUCAAGACAGUGCCCUGAACCCUGCAAGGGCCCUGGCACUCAGAGCACACUCAUUCAUGCUGGGAAGCCAAGGGGAACUGGCUGGAAGGCAAAGGUGAGUGGCAAGCGGGGUCAAAGCGCCCAGUGGGGGAAUCCAGAGGCCUGGACUGGAUUCCCAGCUCUGGCCCACUGGCUUCCCUGAAGCCUCAGUCUUCUGGCCUAUACAAAGGGUGCAAAGAAUCCCAUCUGUCUGCCUCUAGCAGCUGGGAGGAUUACAAUGAGACCAUGUCGCCAAACCUCAGGCAUUCUCCCCUUAAGAGCCCCGUCUGGGAAUAGCCAGAGAUCUGGGGAAUAGCCAGAGGUCCCAGAUGCGCACAGCUGCUCUUGAGGCAGACGCCACCACCAAAGGCAUUAAGACAGUUAACUCUUCCAGAGUUCAGUGUCUCCCCAGGACUCCGGGAACACGUUUGCUCCACCAGCCAAGGUGGAUUCUUUGUGCCAAAGAACCAUCCACUCAUAGACGUGGGAACACCACCCAUGCAGACCUCAACAUGCAACGACAUAUUACACCUUAAUUAUGAAGCUCUUAGAAUAACUGCUGCUAUAAAUUUUAAAACUGUGUGCAAUUACCCUCUUUAAACACACCCAAGAAACUAAGCACCGAGGGUGGAGGCGGGGGGAAAGAGGCAGUUGAGAAAGGGAGAAGGGGGCACCUUGCA